rnacentral:piRNA from 1 species
UACUCACAGUGUUUGCAAAGCUGGAACCGUC